rnacentral:lncRNA from 1 species
GAGCGCUAACACAACAGCCUGUGUAAUUACAUGUUUCUAGGAAGUGUGUUAGCUCCACGGGGAGCUGAGUCCAUUUGGAGAGGAGGAGGGGGAGGAAGAGACUUUCUUUUUUUGGGGGGUGGGUAAGGUGAAAAGGGUCGGCGCGUAGCCCGGCUCUCGCUCGAAUAUGAUAAAGGUAAUUGUGGUUCUCCAGUGAACGCCGGGCGCUCCCCGGUCCUGGCUCCUCUCCCUCCUUGCUCAUGUCUAUGCUAUGCAGGCGUCUGCUGUCAAAGCCGGGUGAAGCAGGGCUUUGCAAGAAGAGAGAAGAGGUUUGACCCUGUUGGAAGCGGUACGUUGCGAUAUCUGACGUUGUUUCUGCGCUAGCAUCGCCCGGGCAGGGGUGGAAGAUGCAGAGUCAGGGGCACGGCAGUUUUGUGCAGCCUAGGCAUUUAUUUAGGUGGAGGAAGGAGAGUGGCAAUAAUUAAAAGCAAUUAAUUAUAGUCCGCAUGCUGGGGCAGGGGGAGGAUGGCUCAGACCUAACCUGUCAUUUAGCUCUGGGCUCUGUGGAUGCUUUGCUGUGACGGAGGGCCGAGGGCUGACCGAGUCGUGGGGAGGAUUUGUAUGUAGGAAGAGAGGAGAUGGCUGUGCAGCGUGCUCCCGAAUCUGCUCUGAGCCUGCUGAUGUCUCUUUCUAUGAUCCAAGCUCUUGGAUAUGCUUGUUGCAUGAAGAUUCGUCUUCACGUUUAGUUUAUACUAACUCAGAAGGUGACCUGCAGAGGGGAAGGUUAUAAUCUCACAGCAUGUGUAAUGCAGUGUUUGGACUGAGCCUGGAUCAUGUUGGGAAGCACACAAGAAAUAAGAAGACAGCCUGAUAGAGAAUGAUACACAGAGGGGAAUGAACUGUCACUAAAGGGAGCUGGAGCACAAAGCUGGGAUCCCCAAUCUUGGGAGGAGCAGGUUGAGCAUCUCCCUGUGAUGUACAUCUGCUAACUCAGCACCAUCAUUGUCUCACUGCUACUCUGUUGGCUGAAACACGGCUUGUUCUCUUAAUUGUACUAUACUACAGAUAAACAAAUCAGUCCUAAAAAAAAAAAAGGUUUUGAAUAUUAGUCACUGACUGGCUGAAGCGUUCGGUUCCUGUUAACACGAUGUGUCAAUAAAAUGAGUUUUCUACCACUGUUAGACUCA